UAUUAGAAAGAAUACCAAUUGCGAAGGCAGCUUUCUGGAUCAUUACUGACACUGAGGAACGAAAGCAUGGGUAGCGAAGAGGAUUAGAUACCCUCGUAGUCCAUGCCGUAAACGAUGUGUGUUAGACGUUGGAAAUUUAUUUUCAGUGUCGCAGCGAAAGCGAUAAACACACCGCCUGGGGAGUACGACCGCAAGGUUAAAACUCAAAUGAAUUGACGGGGACCCGCACAAGUAGUGGAGCAUGUGGUUUAAUUCGAAGAUACGCGCAGAACCUUACCAACACUUGACAUGUUCGUCGCGACUUUAAGAGAUUAAAGUUUUCGGUUCGGCCGGGCGAAACACAGGUGCUGCAUGGCUGUCGUCAGCUCGUGUCGUGAGAUGUUGGGUUAAGUCCCGCAACGAGCGCAACCCUCACUUUUAGUUGCCAUCAUUUAGUUGGGCACUCUGAAAGAACUGCCAGUGAUAAGCUGGAGGAAGGUGGGGAUGACGUCAAGUCCUCAUGGCCCUUACGUGUUGGGCUACACACGUGCUACAAUGGUAUUUACAACAGGAAGCAAGACGGCGACGUUAAGCAAAUCCUUAAAAGAUACCUCAGUUCGGAUUGCACUCUGCAACUCGAGUGCAUGAAGCUGGAAUUACUAGUAAUCGUGGAUCAGCGUGCCACGGUGAAUGCGUUCCCGGGCCUUGUACACACCGCCCA
rnacentral:rRNA from 1 species